rnacentral:misc_RNA from 1 species
CCAGCACGAUCUUGCUUGUCUGCCUUCCCAAACACAUUUAGUGCAAAUCCUUCCAGAUGCAAAUUGUCUUCAGGUCCCAACUUCAGCGACUUCUUAUCCUUUUCAAGUUGAUUCAUAAGGGAAAUAAAGAGAGAAUUGGUGGUCUUGGUGCGCUCGUUCUGUGGAAUCUUUAACCCUUUCUCCAUCGCAUAUAAUCGACAGUAGUAAGCGACCAAAGGAUCGUGUUUUUGCAGCUCGUCGGCUCGUUGUAGGUACGGCAACAGCAGUUUCGCGGGCUCGUUCUCGCUGGACAUGGCUUUGCUUGAUAGAUCUACUUUAGCUUCUUUCCUCUUCUUUUCUUUUCUUUUUUACACAGAAA